rnacentral:misc_RNA from 1 species
CAGAGUUGUAACAAACUCCCAAACCCCAUGUGAACAUACCUCGCGUUGCCUCGGCAGGGCCCACCCGGUAGCAAGCCUACCCGGGAGGGGCCUACCCUGCCGGCGGCCCACGAAACUCUUGUCUCUUUGACUGGCAUCUCUGAACGUACAAAAAAAAUAAAGUUA